ACGAACGCUUGCGGCGUGCUUCACCCAUGCAAGUCGAACGAAGAGCGCUGGAAGCUUGCGUCUAUCAAUCUUAGUGGCGAACGGGGGAGUAACGCGGAAUCAACCUGCCCUUCAGAGGGGGACAACAGGUGGAAACGACUGCUAAUACCGCAUACGAUCUAAUCUCUGCAUCGAGGAGAGAUGAAAGGUCGCCUCUACAUGGAAGCUAUCACUGACGGAGUGGAUUGCGUCUGGUUAGCUAGUUGGGGGGGUAACGGCCCACCAAGGCGAUGAGCAGCAGCCGGUCUGAGGGGAUGAACGGCCACACUGGGACUGAGACCCGGCACAGACGCCUACGGGAGGCAGCAGUGGGGCAUCGUCCGCAAUGGACGAAAGUCUGACGGCGCAACGCCGCGGGCGUGAGGACGGACUUCGGGUUGUAAAGCUCUGUCAAUCGGGAGGAAAGGCCUUCUUGCGAAUAGUGAGAAGGAUUGACGGUACCGGAAGAGAAAGCAACGGCUAACUACGUG
rnacentral:rRNA from 1 species